rnacentral:rRNA from 1 species
CCCUAUGGGGUGCACCAGGCUUGAAAUGGGGCGGCAGAACGGAAUGGAACAGGCGCUCCAUUUCUUCAUAAGGACCCACUUCCUGAGUGUCCAACCACUCCCGGACCGUCAUGGUGUUCGGCUCCUUCAGCCCCUUGCAACGGUCGCUUCCGACAAUCAUCUGAUACUCACCCUCCCUGGCAGCAAGGUCCAGGGGAAACAUGCGGCAGGCCCAGGGCCGGUUUUCAUAAACGCUGCAGCCGUCCCUGGUCACGAGCUUGCAACGGAGUGUCUCGGGAUUCAUAUCGAACUGAACUACCGGAAUAUUCGUAACACGUGCCAGAAAAUGACGCGUGUAUUUGGCGAGAAACUCCCCGGAACCGAUUUUCAGGGAGCGCCGAAGGCGAAGCACGUCGUACGGCGUCAGGUAGAUAUUCACGUCCCGGCAGCAUUGCGUGAAACAGGGGAGC